CCUGGAACAAAUGCUCGCACUCAGCAGUUGAUCCCCAAAAAGGAUGCUGAUAAUAUUUUUCCAAACCAGAUACUUUUUUGGCAAGAUUCCGGUGCUGCACGUUUACACCGUUUGUCCAAAAGUGGAAUGGGGCUGUUACAACAGUGAGGUCUUUGAACAGCCAGUGGUUCUGGCUCUUGACCAUGCUGUGACAUGGGAAACUCAAGAGCAAGAAAACCAGAAAAGCCUGAUUUCCUCAGAUUUUUGGACUGCUGAGAAACCCAGCUGUUGGAAGUCCUGGAAGAACCUUUGUGUGAUCAUCUGUUUUGGAACCUGGAGCCGGGUUAUUGUGGGAUAAUUCAUGCAACAACAUAGACUCAUCACAAGGGCCCUGUCAUUUAAACGCUCCAAUUACUUUUUUUCUGCAAUAGCUUCUGCUCUUCUCCACAUCCCACAGUGCAUUCCAGGGCUACUAUGUUAAUUGGAAGUAUAUUCCUAUGCGUGAAGUGGACUUUAAUUAGUACCUAAGGGGCACAUUCUGGUAUCCUGACUCAUGUGGCACAGGGGCGUACCUCAGAGUUGCUUCAUGGCAGCCUGUGGGACUGCUCAUGAAGAAAGGUGCUUCCUGGUCCAGGCAAAGGCUGGCUCGGGAACUCCAAGACACCCAGGUGGGACAAGAGGCUCCACUGACUCUCCAGCAUGCAAUGCCAUGGCCUGGGGCCCUGUAAAACAAUAGGUACACUAACUCUUCCAAUUAUUUUGCUUGACUAAUGAGUAAUAUGAGAGGCUCCAGAUUUUAAGUCUGUGAGCAAUGGAGGAACUCUGUAAAAAUCGGGAUCACAGGCAGUCUUGUAAUAAAUUAAUAACUUCGGCUAUUACAUGAGUCAUCUGUAAAAUGGGCCCUGAGUUAUGAAGACAUGCACCAACUGUGGGGGGUAUUGUGGAAAAUUAAA